rnacentral:other from 1 species
CUCCUCCUGUUGUGUUCGAUACGACUCUGGAAUCCCUCGACCCUAAAUUUCAGAUAGGGGUCAUCGCCUGUUAGGCAGCUGUGAGCAUUACCGCCUCGGCGGAUAGCCUGGGCUGCCGCGGUUGACCCCACCUUCCGCUCUGGUUCGAGAGCAACGAUUCGUGACGGCAUAAACGGGAGGAGU